rnacentral:rRNA from 1 species
UACGUAGGGCGCAAGCGUUGUCCGGAAUUAUUGGGCGUAAAGAGCUCGUAGGCGGUCUGUCACGUCGGAUGUGAAAGCCCGGGGCUUAACCCCGGGUCUGCAUUCGAUACGGGCAGACUAGAGUGUGGUAGGGGAGAUCGGAAUUCCUGGUGUAGCGGUGAAAUGCGCAGAUAUCAGGAGGAACACCGGUGGCGAAGGCGGUUCUCUGGGCAUGACCUGACGCUGAGGAGCGAAAGUGUGGGGAGCGAACAGG